GGCCCCUUAGCUCAGUUGGUUAGAGCAGUCGACUCAUAAUCGCUUGGUCACUGGUUCAAGUCCAGUAGGGGCCACCA
rnacentral:tRNA from 3 species